CUGGCUCAGGAUGAACGCUAGCUACAGGCUUAACACAUGCAAGUCGAGGGGCAGCGAGAAGAAAGCUUGCUUCCUUGUCGGCGACCGGCGCACGGGUGAGUAACGCGUAUCCAACCUUCCCUAUAGUAGAGAAUAGCCCGGCGAAAGUCGGAUUAAUGCUCUAUGUUGUUCAAUGCAGACAUCUAAGUUGAACCAAAGGUUUACCGCUAUAGGAUGGGGAUGCGUCUGAUUAGGUUGUUGGCGGGGUAACGGCCCACCAAGCCAUCGAUCAGUAGGGUUCUGAGAGGAAGGUCCCCCACAUUGGAACUGAGACACGGUCCAAACUCCUACGGGAGGCAGCAGUGAGGAAUAUUGGUCAAUGGGCGAGAGCCUGAACCAGCCAAGUAGCCGUGCAGGAUGACGGCCCUAUGGGUUGUAAACUGCUUUUAUACAGGGAUAAAGUCGGGGACGUGUUCCCGUUUGUAGGUACUGUAUGAAUAAGGACCGGCUAAUUCCGUGCCAGCAGCGGC
rnacentral:rRNA from 1 species